UUUUGAAUGAAUGAUUCCCUUGUCAUUCCCCUAAUUUUCCAAACAAACCUAGACCAAUUCGGUACAUGGAAAUAACCAGGCCACCUCGCAUAAUUCUCACACCUAAUGAAUACCUCAUGCGCCCUUACAAUGUGGUCUAGCAAGAAUAUUUCAAAAAACGUUAUACUAGUAUCGAGAUGCAUUUCCAUAACAUGGACGACAUCCAUGCAAGAUGCCAUAUGGAUCGUACACUACUACAAAAGUUAGAAUAAGAAACGCAAGAUAUAAAACGGUUAAGUUAGAAGAGCGCUUUCCGCAAGUAUAGAGUACGCUUUUCUUAGUUCAUUGUUAUGUGAGAAAAAUAAUACAAAGCGCCUAUCUUGAUACCUGUUUUUUGUGAAGUUCUCUCAAUAAGUAAUUAAUUCAACAAAUAAAUUUUCUACAAUAUGCAGCGGUGUUCUGAUACAACCGCUUAAUAUCUUUUACCAAAAUAAAUAAAUAAAUAAGAUUUCAUUUCCCCUCAAAUGAAAACCUAACUCCAAACCCUCACACUACUCAAGCAGCCACACUACAAAACCUCCUCCAUAUCAAAUACUUCCUCCAUUUUUUAAUAAUUGCACCAUCUUGGUUUUAUCACUAUUCACAUAUUCUUAUAUAGUUAAUUUUUGUGAUUUAUAUGUAACGAAAAAUAUAUUCAUGUGGGAUCUUGUUAGAUUCGUCUCGAAAUAUACUUUCGAAUGAUCAAAUUUUUAUAAUUUUUUAAAAGGUAUAAUGAGAGAUAUUAGUGAUUAAAAUAAUGCAUUGGUAAGCGUGAAAUCCCAGAUGGUGCAAUUAAAAAAAAAUGGAGGAAGUAUAUUCUCUAAUAUCCCAUUCUUUUCUAGUUCUCUGAUCUCUGUGUUAUUUCUACACCCAAAUAUGGAAUAAUUAACUAGAAGAUCAUAAAUUAAAAACCUAACUUUACAACUUCACCUCCUCUAGCCGUCUCUUCAAAUUCGAUCCUCUUUUCUGAACUUUUUCAUUCUCCUCAAAUUUUGUUUGGUGAGCUUUGUGAUUUGAAUCAAUUCACUUCUGCUAUUUAGAGCUGCUAGUGGUUUAUCGUUCUCCACCUAUUCUCAACUAUAUUUCUGCAAUUAUAAAUUCUUUUGUUUUCUCUCGUCUUGUUCUUCCCUAAAUCAAAAUGAUGAGAGGGAAAAUCAAACCAUACUAUCACUAUGAAGAUUAUCCGUCGGAAUUUCGUUCGCGACGGCCCUGGCAGCGUCAAGGAAUAAUAGUGACAAUUGAGUGAAAUAUCAGAUGGGGGAUUGAGAAAAUCUCUGCGUUGUACAUUUAUUUGUAUAUUGCAUCUCCAAGGCAAGAUUUUCCACUCUGAUACAAGUCAGAAAAUGAAAGGUUCACCAUCAGCGGAAACAGUAAAAUAAUUGUCAGAAAUUCACAGUUGCAUUGCCUUAUUCUCGAUGAAAUCAUGGGCUCUUAAUACCAGCAGAAUCCAAAUGGUAAACAAGAUUACUUGCGCACUAGCGGCUGUUUAAGAGAUGCUAGAGGGUUUGAAGAUUUGCAGUGGUGGUUAGAUGCAGUUAGAAAGCAAGUCUCGAGUUCAAGUUCUACCUAAUAUGCUUGCUGAAUGUAUUUACAAUCUGUGACUGCAGAAGUGCAGAGGAAUGGAAAAUUUUCUCCCCAGAGUUGCAAAACUCCAGCAAGUGCAACUAAUGCUUAAUUGUUUGCUCUUGAGGUGUAAACAGCUUGUUGUCGUUUUUUUCUUUUUGCUUUUGAGGCUUUGGGGUUGUUGUACACCUUUUUUCAUUGCUAAUAAAUUCCCCAAAAAAAAGUACGCCUUUUUUGUUGUUGUUAUUUUGCUUUUGAGGAAUAUAAGUUGAUUUAUUUGUGUUAA